UACGGAGGUGGCAAGCGUUGCUCGGAAUCACUGGGCGUAAGGGGCGCGUAGGCGGGGAGGUAAGUCGGGUGUGAAAUCCCUCGGCCCAACCGAGGAACUGCGCCCGAGACUGCUUCUCUUGAGUCCCGGAGAGGAAGAUGGAAUUCCCGGUGUAGCGGUGAAAUGUGUAGAGAUCGGGAGGAACACCGGUGGCGAAAGCGGCGCGCUGGACCUCUUCUGACGCUGAGGCGCGAAAGCCAGGGGAGCAAACGGGG
rnacentral:rRNA from 1 species